CUUCAGAAGAAUUCAACAGCUAUGAAGCUUUUUCCUUUUGCUUGUGUUUGUCUCCUGACUCGGUCUGGAAAAACGUUUGCUGAUGAACACGGGUCAUCCUAUGGAUUGAUUGUUGCUGUUGCAGUUCUUGUUUCUUUUUUAUUUAUUAGUUUUUGUUGCUGCUAAACUAUAAGAAAUGUUCAACGAUUUAAAGAACCCACUGAUUCAGUGCAGCUACCUGAUCCAGAAAC